CAUAUUAGGUCCAGCUCAUCCAGGAAAGUCUCGAAGUACAGGGAUUCUGAUCCUGAAAUCACCUCCGUUUACCUUGGUUUAUCUUUUUGAGACACUUAGUUGCUUCUGAGAGGACUUGCUAUGAAGAUUCCUUUCCUUUUUUUAGCUCUUCUUUUCUUUGGCCUGUUAUCUGCCUCAGGAACUGAAGAUGAUUAUAUGGUCACUAGCUUCCUGGACUGUAAAAAUCAAACACUGUGUAGUUCUCCAAAUGAAAAUGGAAACUGUUCUGAUGUUAACAAGGAGGUUGGAAUAUGUGUCUUGCGUUUUAGAAAAAAUGCAAAGCAACCAACCAUAAAGAAAUAGAACAUUAGGAAGACAGGACAAUCAACACCCUUGUCUUAUCAGAAAAUAAAGUCUGUUUUCUCUCAUCUCUC